rnacentral:lncRNA from 1 species
GUCUUUAAGGAGCAGAUUCCAGGAGUCCUCUGCUCAAAAAUUGUGCUACCAUCCUCUCAAUGGUCCUGUAUAGAUAUUGCUAGCAAAAAUGCGUCUUUUAAUCAACUGCCACAACUCAAAAGGCAGCCUAUCAUAUAACUUCUAGCCAGACCAGAUAGUAGUGUGAAGAUCAAUACAGUAUCUUGUACUGCCUCUGGAUCCAUUUCUUACAGCCACAUUCUGCACCAGCUGACAUGUUUCAUCAUAGUUUUUCAAUGGGGGGAGGAAUGACAAGAUUCUAACAGAAGAAAAAUAGAGCUAAAAAUAAAGGAAGAAGUGGCAUUCCUAAGCUGCCUAGUGACACUCUGUGAGCAUCACUACCCACUGGUGAGAGGCACUUACAGUGUCCUCCACUGUUGCAGAGGAAACAUGGAUCUGUUUACUUAGGACCUCUCAGGACAGUUGGAGUUGCUGCUGUAUGCACUUCAAAGACAAGAAUCCUGCAGCUAAUUUGUAGGUGAAAUUUGUGACUGAAACCACUGAAAACUGUGGAAACAAGUAUCUGGACUGGCAAGUCAGAAAGGUAAGAGUGUAUCUAGUAACAUCCACUAAAAUCUGAGUGUUUAGUCAACUUUACCAUU